GACGAACGCUGGCGGCGUGCUUAACACAUGCAAGUCGAACGGUGAAAGCGGAGCUUGCUCCGCUGGAUCAGUGGCGAACGGGUGAGUAACACGUGGGCAACCUGCCCCUCACUUCGGGAUAACUCCGGGAAACCGGGGCUAAUACCGGAUAUGACCUCCUUGGGCAUCCUUGGAGGUGGAAAGUUUUUCGGUGAGGGAUGGGCCCGCGGCCUAUCAGCUUGUUGGUGAGGUAGUGGCUCACCAAGGCGACGACGGGUAGCCGGCCUGAGAGGGGGACCGGCCACACUGGGACUGGGACACGGCCCAGACUCCUGCGGGAGGCAGCAGUGGGGAAUAUUGCGCAAUGGGCGAAAGCCUGACGCAGCAACGCCGCGUGCGGGAUGACGGCCUUCGGGUUGUAAACCGCUUUCAGCAGGGAAGAAGCCGCAAGGUGACGGUACCUGCAGAAGAAGCACCGGCUAACUACGUGCCAGCCGCCGCGGUAA
rnacentral:rRNA from 1 species